AUUGAACGCUGGCGGCAGGCCUAACACAUGCAAGUCGCGCGGAUGACGGGAGCUUGCUCCUUGAUUCAGCGGCGGACGGGUGAGUAAUGCCUAGGAAUCUGCCUGGUAGUGGGGGACAACGUUUCGAAAGGAACGCUAAUACCGCAUACGUCCUACGGGAGAAAGCAGGGGACCUUCGGGCCUUGCGCUAUCAGAUGAGCCUAGGUCGGAUUAGCUAGUAGGUGUGGUAAUGGCUCACCUAGGCGACGAUCCGUAACUGGUCUGAGAGGAUGAUCAGUCACACGCGAACUGAGACACGGUCCAGACUCCUAAGGGGGGCAGCAGUGGGGAAUAUUGGACAAGGGGCGAAAGCCUGAUCCAGCCAUGCCGCGUGUGUGAAGAAGGUCUUCGGAUUGUAAAGCACUUUAAGUUGGGAGGAAGGGCAGUAAGCGAAUACCUUGCUGUUUUGACGUUACCGACAGAAUAAGCACCGGCUAACUCUGUGCCAGCAGCCGCCGUAACAC
rnacentral:rRNA from 1 species